UGGAGGGAAAGGUGAACGCCAAUGCCUAACUUCAUUCCCUCAAAAUAAAACCCUAAAUGUUGACUCGAAACAUAUGGCUAUGCCUUGGGAUAAAUCUUAGUCUAGUUUCUCAUCCUAAAACAGCAGAAAGAUUUCUUGACUGCAUUCUCUUCUUUCUGAGUCAGGGCCUUCCCUGGACUCCUGGACCAUCAUCAUUCCAGCCAGAAGGUCGAGCUUGUCCUGCUCCAAACCGAAGAUUCCUGGCAGAGUCCUGAGUAGUGAACACCCGUUCUGGAAAGCCGGCAGAGCAAGCGUCCACAUCAGCCCCACAGUGCAGAGGAGGCCGAGAUUCACGAAGGCUCUAGACAUCUGUUUGCUGAGCUGGCAACACCUCAGGUUUACCAGGAAGCCGUGGAGGCUGAUCUGGACACUACUUGGGAGAGGCCCACGGCCCAACUUUCCCUCGGAGGCCAGAGCCACAGAAUCCCGAUGGGCGUUUUUCUCCGCAGUUCCUGACUCUGCUUCCAGACCAGAGAGGA